rnacentral:rRNA from 1 species
GGUACUCCGGGGAUAACAGGCUGAUACCGCCCAAGAGUUCAUAUCGACGGCGGUGUUUGGCACCUCGAUGUCGGCUCAUCACAUCCUGGGGCUGAAGUAGGUCCCAAGGGUAUGGCUGUUCGCCAUUUAAAGUGGUACGCGAGCUGGGUUUAGAACGUCGUGAGACAGUUCGGUCCCUAUCUGCCGUGGGCGCUGGAGAACUGAGGGGGGCUGCUCCUAGUACGAGAGGACCGGAGUGGACGCAUCACUGGUGUUCGGGUUGUCAUGCCAAUGGCACUGCCCGGUAGCUAAAUGCGGAAGAGAUAAGUGCUGAAAGCAUCUAAGCACGAAACUUGCCCCGAGAUGAGUUCUCCCUGAGACUUAGAGUCUCCUGAAGGAACGUUGAAGACGACGACGUUGAUAGGCCGGGUGUGUAAGCGCAGCGAUGCGUUGAGCUAACCGGUACUAAUGAACCGUGAGGCUUAACCUUAC